UUGUGUUAAUAAGUGUGUGAUUGGUUGGAGAAAUUUAAGAUUCAAAUGAAGUUUGAUCGAGAUUCUAUUGUUUGGGUCUUUGUGAAUUGAUCACUCCCUUGGGUUUUGCCAAGUUUUUGUUUCGAUUAGCCUUAGAAAUUAUCCCUUGUUUGUUCACCCGACCACGCUACAACCUUGAAAAGCCCUUGUAGUUCGUGCAUUUGUAUUUUUAAUACAAUUUUUGGACGACGGCAUAAUUUAGUCUUUUGUUUGCAAGAUUGUGGGUGAUUGAAAUUACCCCAUUUUUGCGUGUUUUUCAUUUAUCGAUGAUUGUGCGCUAGGUGUGAUUCAUUAUUGAACUAGUGUUGUUUUAGAAUGUUUGGCAUAUUGUUUGUAUUUAGCAUUUGUGUCAUGUUUAUGUUGUUGUCGUAGUUAGUGGUAAGUAUAUUUACUUUGUGUGUACCGUUUUGCAUUUGAGUCAUACAUUUGUUUCCUUUUUUCUAAACUUGUUGAUUCGUGAUUUUUGGAUAUCACUUUUGUUGUCUUGAGUUAGUUGAUUCUUGUUUAGGGACAAACAAGUUCAAGUUGGGGAGAGUUUGAUAAGUGCAAAUUGUAGCUAUUUUUGCAUAUACUUUUUAGUGCACUUAUUGACUCUUUGUUGUUAAUUCCGGUUGAAUAAACCCAACUUUUGUGUAAAUACGUUUAAUUUGCAUAUACUUGUUUUUGAUUCAUUUAUGUACCAUUUGAUAAUUUUCUAUUUAUUUUUUAGGUAUUGAGGCAUAUUUGGAGCAUGGGCAAUAAAGUGUCGAAGACACGGCUUCAAACGCGCGAUUUUGAGCAACGAAAUCAAUUCAUCAAAGAAUAAGGAUCAAAAUAAGGAUGAUAAAAAUCAUCAAUUUGGUUGUCAUUUUGUCAUUGUUAGAUAGAGCAUUGAAUAAGUUUCCCAACGUUUCAAAUCGGACAUAAAUCGAAGUUACGGUUCUCAAGUUAUGGCCAAAAAUAUGAUGUUGCUACUAGUGUCGUUCGCUCGGCGGAAGACAGGCUCGCCCGACGAAUCUGGCACGACAGAAAUGCGUUAAAAGAGAGGGAGGCUUAGAAACAUCAAAUGGGGUUGCAUCUUGAUGAUCGGAGGUCGAAUUUCUCAUCGAUUGGUGUUGACAAACCAAAAAUUGUUUUGUUCUUUGUAUACUCUAUUUUCUUGGGUAUGUUUGUAUAUUUUAUUUGAACAUAUGUGUAUGUAUUGAUCAUGGUGUUGGAUAAUAUAUUUACUUUACAAAUCA